rnacentral:tRNA from 1 species
CGGGGCGUAGCCCAGCUUGGUAGGGCGCUUGGUUCGGGACCAAGAGGUCGCAAGUUCAAAUCUUGUCGCCCCGA